AAAUUACAUUUUGUGCACUUAAUUGUUCCCCCUUUACUCGUACUGCACAAAAAGUGGUUCAAUAGCAUUGAAUGUUACAGGGACA